AUUGAACGCUGGCGGCAGGCCUAACACAUGCAAGUCGAACGAGUGGCGGACGGGUGAGUAAUGUAUGGGAAACUGACCGAUGGAGGGGGAUAACUACUGGAACACGUAGCUAAUACUGCAAACCAUCGGAUGUGCCCAGAUGGGAUGAGCUCGUGGGUGGGGUAACGGCUCACCUAGGAGACGAUCCCUAGCUGGUCUGAGAGGAUGACCAGCCACACUGGAACUGAGACACGGUCCAGACUCCUACGGGAGGCAGCAGUGGGGAAUAUUGCGCAAUGGGCGCAAGCCUGAUGCAGCCAUGCCGCGUGUGUGAAGAAGGCCUUCGGGUUGUAAAGUACUUUCGGCGAGGAGGCGUUACUCGCAGAAGAAGCCCCGGCUAACUCCGUGCCAGCAGCCGCGGUAAUAC
rnacentral:rRNA from 1 species